rnacentral:rRNA from 1 species
AACGAACGCUGGCGGCAGGCCUAACACAUGCAAGUCGAACGAACUCUUCGGAGUUAGUGGCGGACGGGUGAGUAACACGUGGGAACGUGCCUUUAGGUUCGGAAUAACUCAGGGAAACUUGUGCUAAUACCGAAUGUGCCCUUCGGGGGAAAGAUUUAUCGCCUUUAGUGCGGCCCGCGUCUGAUUAGCUAGUUGGUGGGGUAAUGGCCCACCAAGGCUACGAUCAGUAGCUGGUCUGAGAGGAUGACCAGCCACAUUGGGACUGAGACACGGCCCAAACUCCUACGGGAGGCAGCAGUGGGGAAUCUUGCGCAAUGGGCGAAAGCCUGACGCAGCCAUGCCGCGUGGAUGAUGAAGGUCUUAGGAUUGUAAAAUCCUUUCACCGGUGAAGAUAAUGACUGUAGCCGGAGAAGAAGCCCCGGCUAACUUCGUGCCAGCCGCCGCAGUAAUAC